GUUUGUUGUAUCAAACCAUCAAAAAAGGAGAAAAAUCAACUUCUGAAUGUUGCAUAUUUGAAAAGUAAAUUAGACUUUUCCAUCGAGAUUUUGUUAGGGUUAGGAAUCCAAAGUAUUCAGUUAUAGCUGAGAAAAUAGAACAAAGAAUAGGAAAAGAAGAGAAAGAAGUAGAGAAAAGACAGAUAAGAGGAGGAAGAACAGAAUUUAGAGAGGGAAGAAUGAGAAUUUCAUUGAUA
rnacentral:misc_RNA from 1 species